GAUCAUGGCUCAGGAUUAACGCUAGCUACAGGCUUAACACAUGCAAGUCGAGGGGCAGCAUGGUCUUAGCUUGCUAAGGCCGAUGGCGACCGGCGCACGGGUGAGUAACACGUAUCCAACCUGCCGUCUACUCUUGGACAGCCUUCUGAAAGAAAGAUUAAUACAAGAUGGCAUCAUGAGUCCGCAUGUUCACAUGAUUAAAGGUAUUCCGGUAGACGAUGGGG
rnacentral:rRNA from 1 species